UGCAGUCGAGGGGCAUCAGGAAGAAAGCUUGCUUUCUUUGCUGGCGACCGGCGCACGGGUGAGUAACACGUAUCCAACCUGCCCUUUACUCGGGGAUAGCCUUUCGAAAGAAAGAUUAAUACCCGAUAGCAUAAUGAUUCCGCAUGGUUUCAUUAUUAAAGGAUUCCGGUAAAGGAUGGGGAUGCGUUCCAUUAGGUUGUUGGUGAGGUAACGGCCCACCAAGCCUUCGAUGGAUAGGGGUUCUGAGAGGAAGGUCCCCCACAUUGGAACUGAGACACGGUCCAAACUCCUACGGGAGGCAGCAGUGAGGAAUAUUGGUCAAUGGGCGCUAGCCUGAACCAGCCAAGUAGCGUGAAGGAUGAAGGCUCUAUGGGUCGUAAACUUCUUUUAUAUAAGAAUAAAGUGCAGUAUGUAUACUGUUUUGUAUGUAUUAUAUGAAUAAGGAUCGGCUAACUCCGUGCCAGCAGCCGCGGUAAUACGGAGGAUCCGAGCGUUAUCCGGAUUUAUUGGGUUUAAAGGGAGCGUAGGUGGACUGGUAAGUCAGUUGUGAAAGUUUGCGGCUCAACCGUAAAAUUGCAGUUGAUACUGUCAGUCUUGAGUACAGUAGAGGUGGGCGGAAUUCGUGGUGUAGCGGUGAAAUGCUUAGAUAUCACGAAGAACUCCGAUUGCGAAGGCAGCUCACUGGACUGCAACUGACACUGAUGCUCGAAAGUGUGGGUAUCAAACAGGAUUAGAUACCCUGGUAGUCCACACAGUAAACGAUGAAUACUCGCUGUUUGCGAUAUACAGUAAGCGGCCAAGCGAAAGCAUUAAGUAUUCCACCUGGGGAGUACGCCGGCAACGGUGAAACUCAAAGGAAUUGACGGGGGCCCGCACAAGCGGAGGAACAUGUGGUUUAAUUCGAUGAUACGCGAGGAACCUUACCCGGGCUUAAAUUGCAGUGGAAUGAUGUGGAAACAUGUCAGUGAGCAAUCACCGCUGUGAAGGUGCUGCAUGGUUGUCGUCAGCUCGUGCCGUGAGGUGUCGGCUUAAGUGCCAUAACGAGCGCAACCCUUAUCUUCAGUUACUAACAGGUCAUGCUGAGGACUCUGGAGAGACUGCCGUCGUAAGAUGUGAGGAAGGUGGGGAUGACGUCAAAUCAGCACGGCCCUUACGUCCGGGGCUACACACGUGUUACAAUGGGGGGUACAGAAGGCAGCUAGCGGGUGACCGUAUGCUAAUCCCAAAAGCCUCUCUCAGUUCGGAUCGAAGUCUGCAACCCGACUUCGUGAAGCUGGAUUCGCUAGUAAUCGCGC
rnacentral:rRNA from 1 species